CCUACGGGAGGCAGCAGGGAGGAAUAUUGGUCAAUGGGCGCGAGCCUGAACCAGCCAAGUCGCGUGAGGGAAGACGGUCCGAUGGAUUGUAAACCUCUUUUGUCGGGGAGCAAAAGACGCCACGCGGGGCGUUCCGAGAGUACCCGAAGAAAAAGCAUCGGCUAACUCCGUGCCAGCAGCCGCGGUAAUACGGAGGAUGCGAGCGUUAUCCGGAUUUAUUGGGGUUAAAGGGUGCGCAGGCGGAAGAUCAAGUCAGCGGUAAAAUUGAGAGGCUCAACCUCUUCGAGCCGUUGAAACUGGUUUUCUUGCGUGCGUGCGCAGUCUGCGGUAUGCGUGGUGUAGCGGU
rnacentral:rRNA from 1 species